ensembl:lncRNA
AGUAACGGAAGGGGGGGGGUGCAAAUCACCUGAUAUACCUGCUGAGGUUUUUUUUUUUUUUUUUUUUUUUUAAGCUGUGCGGGAGGAACUGGUAAAUAACUUGAUAUGAUAUUGGGUAGCUAUGUUCUUGUAUCAGGUGUCACUACAGCUAUAGUACAGUCACCUUUUAUAUCUGAGAACUAGCUAGUAGUAUUCACUUUACUUGGAUACAGACCCAGACGUACUGUAGUUGCACUGAGUUACACCCUUAAUGGUGACAUUUUAUCAUUUAUGUAAGAAUACCUGUAAGAAUCAGUACAAGAUUUCACUGAGACUUUUUUUUUGGUGAUUUGUUGCAACCAAAAAUGCUUGAUCUUGCUGCGGCUAUUUUCAUGCUUUAAAAUUUAUUAUUAUAUUUUUUUUAAUAGGGAAACUACUUGAAUUGGAGAAAGUGUACUUGCAUUCGAUUGUCUUUCGCAGCGAUGUUUGUUGGUAAAUGAGAGCUUUUAGCUGUGCUCAUGUUCGACAGACGUGACUCGAAGAGGGCUUUGGCUGAACGUGUGUUGUGACGAGGUCACGUGACGUGUCUUGCCCCAAAUCUGUAGGAAAUCUGCUGUAAGUGCCAAAAAAAAAAAAACCAACAAAUUCAUGCAAAAGUUGCAAGCGCCUCCGAAUAUUGCUGCGUUUGCUCGAUUUUGUUAAUUUCUACAACUGCAAAAUCCUUGAUUAUUUGUAUUUGAGACCCGUUUUUGCUAUAAAGUAUGACGUAUCACAGCUCACAGUAGCACAUGCCUGGUUAACGAGCUAUAAUAACUGUAGUAUGCUAGUUCAACACUCUAAGUAUUGCUUUUGACAGGCUUUAUUGUGUUAGAAAGCUUUUAUCUGCUUUCUGCCUGUUAAUGUGAACUGAAAAGACGUCGGAGAAGGUUUUAGACACAAAUCCCCGUUACUAUUAUCAAAACACCAACGGAGAGAAAAUAUUUUCAAGGAACAAAAUUUAGUUCAGGGCUCCAGUACAGUUCGAGGAGCAUUGAAGCUGUGUUGGCCAAACACAUUAUUAACACAGUUGAUGGUGGUUUUUCCUUUCGUUUUGUAACCAUUGGCGUUCCAGAAGUGAAUCAACACCAUACUGCUCUCCAUAGAGAGCAGAGACUUUGAGUAAUAAUGGAGACGCCUAAAAUGUCCAUGCUUAAUUACUUUCAUGAAAGGAAAUGGGUGUGGUGUCAGGCUUUCAAGACUUGGAAUGAAUAUCUGUUCAAAAGCCUGCCAAAUGAAUACUCAAGAAAAAUAACGUAUACAGUGUAUGCAAUGUUAUGAAAUCUUUAGCUAGAAUGGAUAAACUAUUUACAGAGCUGGUGCAAAAUUUGAGGGCUUGCUUCACGAGGUGUAACAUUAUAGGAAAUUGAUCAAUGAGGGCUUGCUUCACGAGGUGUAACAUUAUAGGAAAUUGAUCAAUGAUAUGGUUGACCUUAGGUUGUAACAGCUGUACACUGUCGUUCCUUCACCAGCCCUUUUUCUUCUCUUUCGAGUUUAAAUGUCAACUACAGACGUGUUACAGAGAAACCACAUGCACAGAGUAAAUGUUCAAAUUAUUGGCAACUUGCUGUGACGUAAUGAGAAUAAAACACUCCGGGACAUGCUGUUAUGGAUAAAUAAUCAAUCAUGGGGUGGUCACAGUAACUCUGCUUUUUUUUUUUUUUUUUUUUUAUAAAUCUGCAGGGUUGAUUGUUUUCCUAUAAGAGCACACAGUCACGUGUUUGAGUCUUUAUGAUUCAGGAAUAACAUCUAAUAUCUAGCUUUAGAGGUUGUAAGCGAGGUAGAAUCCAGUCUUUUAAAAAGAACUGCACCAACUGACCGAAAACAAGUGCAACCUCCAACUCGAGAAGUAUUGGCACCCUUCGUUUCAAGUGAUUUGAAACUCACGCAAGUUCUCUUUAGCCCAAGACGUGCUCGGUGUCUGAAGUCUGUUUCUUUAGUUGUGUGUCUCGCUAAGAAAUGUCGGAAACCCGCUGCCGUACCGGUAUGCUAAUUUUAUUCAAGUUUCCGAUUAUAUGUCGAACGAAGGAAGUAGAUAGUGUUGAA